rnacentral:lncRNA from 1 species
AACAAGAAGGUAAUCAAGGGGGAGAUACACAGGCUUUGAAAAGCAAAAUUAAGACUCUAUGGGAUUUUGGAUGUGUAACAUAAACUGUGGGCAACGUGCUUCGCUUGUAUAAAUCAGCAUCAUUACAUUGAAGCCAGAAGAUCUCUGCUGUGCUCCAGCUGAGAAAGUGGCCUACGACUCUGAACACAAGGUUAAUUUUGACCUCUGGAAUUCAGCAGAGAAAUAAAGCACAAAAUAAAGCUGCAUUGGUUAAAAGAAACUAUUGCAACAUAAGUCGAAAAGCCAAAACUGAAGGGCAGAGGUGGCAGGGAAGAAGGCAUACUGCAUAAUUUCUGAUGGCAAUAUUCAUAGCAUCUCACAGAGCACUGUGGAGAUACUAAUCUUAAUAAAACAGCAUAUACAAAUCCCUGUUCCUGUGCUACUGAUAAGACCCUAAGUGCUCAGUCCUGCUACAGCUUACUCACAGGAACUGGCCUCUAUUUUCAGAAGUCACAAAUGAUUCUGAUUACCUUCAUUUCUCAGUCGAUCACCAGUUUUAGAAAAUGGGUCUAGGUUUAAAAAGUGAAGCACUUGGUGCAAUUUGAGGAACCACAGUUUCUUCAACUCCUAGGGCAGCCAAAACUGCUAAUCACUUUGAAAACUUUAUGUUGCAGUCCUCCCUCGAACUGAAGGUGCACGCUCUGCCCAGCACUGUGCCAUGCUGAGAGAACUGGAUUACUCGGGGGGGCUGGAAGUACCCUCUUUGCACGGUCCAAAUGGUCUGCCCUGAAUAAUUAGUCCUAAGUAACACCCCUUUGAGCCAUGAAAGAGACAUUCCCGGGUCUCUGUAUGUGAGUAAGCAAACCCACGUGGCUUCUCAUCCUGCAAGUGCUUCCUCCACCUCCAGCGGUGGCUCAAGGGAGAACACCAUUAAUUAAAUUGGUAGUGGGGUAAGGAGCCAAGAGAGAAAGGGGACAGCCAGAACACGCGGGCGAGAACGCCAGUGGGGAUCCUGCACUGGUUCUCUGAUUGUGGUAAGCAUGAGUGAAGCUGGGGUUUGGGGGUCUCUGCACCCUAGCCUACAGCAUUUCCUCGCCCUCUGUGUCAUGACAUAUAAACUAUGGUCUUAAGAUACUGUCUCUUGA